CAAUGGAGCCAGGUUACUUACACUAGAGUCAGAUAACCAUCAUGUUUUUCAGCUUUAAUAUGCAAUGUUAUUUAAAGUGUUUCGUAAAUCAGAGCUUCACAAACUGGAGUUUGUGAGGGAGUUAAUUAAAUCUGAAAAAAGCUAAAAAAAAAAUAGCUCAAAAAGGCUGUCAAAACAGUUUGGGAAUCCUUGCCAUAGCUCACACUAAAGACAUGCAUUUGUACGUCUUCUACUGAUCAGAUCGGUGAAAUGAGUCCAGCAGUCGCUUCCAUUGGAAUUCCACUUUGUUUUAUUAUUACAGAAAUCUGCGACAGUGUAUUUCUGAUGAUUACCAAUGUGCAAAAUAUAAUCCCAUGGAAUUUACUCUUUCUGGAAAACAAAAAAAAUUCACAUUCAUGGAUUGGCGUUAAUGCAAAAGCUGUCCCACUGCCGGCACUGAAAACAUACAGAUGUCACCAGCUUUAGGAAUUAACGCCCAUCAUCACGGCACUGGAGUCACCCAUGACAAGGUUAUAUAGUUCACCGGAAAACAUGGUCAUUAUUUACUCACCCUCUUGCCACUUACACGAUUUUUUAAAGAUUUAUGCCACUCUUUUUCAAAGUGAUCACAUCAGUCAAGCU